GACGAACGCUGGCGGCGUGCUUAACACAUGCAAGUCGAACGGUGAAGCGCCUUCCUUUUUGGUGGGUGUGGAUGAGUGGCGAACGGGUGAGUAACACGUGAGUAACCUGCCCCCUUCUUCUGGAUAACCGCAUGAAAGUGUGGCUAAUACGGGAUAUUCUGGGUCUGUCGCAUGAUGGGUCUGGGAAAGAUAUUGUUUCGGUGGGGGAUGGGCUCGCGGCCUAUCAGCUUGUUGGUGGGGUGAUGGCCUACCAAGGCGGUGACGGGUAGCCGGCCUGAGAGGGUGGACGGUCACACUGGGACUGAGACACGGCCCAGACUCCUACGGGAGGCAGCAGUGGGGAAUAUUGCACAAUGGGCGCAAGCCUGAUGCAGCGACACCGCGUGAGGGAUGGAGGCCUUCAGGUUGUGAACCUCUUUCGCCAGUGAAGCAGGCCUGCCUCGUUUGUGGGUGGGUUGACGGUAGCUGGAUAAGAAGCGCCGGCUAACUACGUG
rnacentral:rRNA from 1 species